GCGAGGCCUCGGCAGGCGUCCCUGUCUUCUCGCGAGGCCUCGGCAGGCGUCCCUGUCUUCUCGCGAGGCCUCGAGAGCCAACUCUUUCCGACCACACCCUUCUUUCUGGAACAUCUCUGGUUUGAGGUCUUGGAGUGGGAGCUGCCCUUUGCCCUUUGCCCUGGGGACUGUAGAGUGUCCCCGAGGAGUCACGUCCAGGGCGUGCCAGUUCAGUGGUGUCACAGUGUCCAAGUGCAGCUUUGAAAGGCAGGUUUGGGCUGUCGGCUGGAGAGAGAGCCACAGCGUUUCAGCACGGCCCUCACCCACGAACUGCGUCUGGGGCCCUGGCUUGGCAGUCGCGGCUGAGCCCGUGCACGAGGUUCCCUCCAGCCAGGGAAGGUCGCUGCUGUCCAGAGCGUGUCCUGUCCUCUUGGGGAGUAGUGGUUGGCUGAUCACGUCUGACGGCGCUUGAGACCAAAGACCGUGACGAUGGCGAGAACUCAAGCCAGGCGCUGGGGUUUGAGGACGCGAACCCUGCCCCGCGAGGCUGGAACAUCGUGCUUGCUCCACACCCAGGAGACGCAACUCGGGAUUGGAACCUACGAAGGCUUCCCAAAUGCUGACCCAGCCCUGCACCAAGCCGGCCCUGCACCAAGCCGGCUGCCAGAACCUCCCAGGAGCCGGUUUCGAUAGAGAGGCGUCGCUGUGCCGCAGAAGAACCAGCACAGUUUUGGGACCGCUCAGGGCUCAGAUCCUGGUAAAGACACGCGCAGGUGGAAUUCCUCUUUUCUGGACUGAGUGGCAAAGAAAUCACUUCCAGAGAGCCUGAAAAAAUGAGCUUUUUUCAGAAUGUUUGAAUGUGUCUUUAAAAUUCAGCAUCAUGAUUUACAAAGAGGCAGACUCCGACCGCAUGGUGUCUUGGCUCCUACACCCCACAGUGGCUCUAAGAAUGAACCAGUGCAAUGUACCGGACCCCGAGUGACCCCGACUCUGGCUCACGGCUUCCUCGUGUGUCAGCAUCUCUCCCACUCCUCGGCCUCCGUCCUCCACUGUCGUUUGUGCCGUGGGCUGCUUCUGAGACUGAAAAGUGAGGAGGCAGAGUUCCCGUGUAGCUCAGUGGGUUAAGGACCAGGCGUUGUCACUGCUCUGGUGUGUUUGAUCCCUGGCCUGGGAACUUCACCAUUCUGCGGGUAUGGCGAAAAAAUAAAAUAAGGAAAAGCAAGAAGAUGUAAAGAUACAUGAACAGUACAAACAAACCGCAUCAGGUGGGAUUUUAACUUAC